UACGAAGGGGGCGAGCGUUGUUCGGAAUUACUGGGCGUAAAGCGCACGUAGGCGGAUUUGUUAGUCAGGGGUGAAAUCCCGGGGCUCAACCUCGGAACUGCCUUUGAUACUGCAAAUCUCGAGUCCGAUAGAGGUGGGUGGAAUUCCUAGUGUAGAGGUGAAAUUCGUAGAUAUUAGGAAGAACACCGGUGGCGAAGGCGGCCCACUGGAUCGGUACUGACGCUGAGGUGCGAAAGCGUGGGGAGCAAACAGG
rnacentral:rRNA from 1 species